UCUUCCUCCCUUCUCGCGUCUCCUCCUUCACUCUCACUUCUCUCAAACUUAAUCUAGAAGGUUCACUAAAGAUUUAGCAACCAAUCUGUACUCAUUUCAUUCUUGUGCUGAAAGAUUGCACUUAGCCAAAUCCCCCUUCUUCAAUCUUGACAGUUCACACAUCGUCAACGAUUUGAACCAAAAAACCCCAAAUCCAUAACCUACGGAUGCUUGGAUCUCAAUUGCGAUACAAAAACAAAGUCGUUCUGUGAGGUUAUAAGAUCAUUCUACAGUAUAAAAGGACAGAGAAAUGCAUCCAAACACAAGCCAUAGGGUGGAGUUGAGUAGCAAGAACAAAUUUUCAGAAGCAAGAACAAAUUGUCCUGCCAUGAGGGUUGCUGCUAAAUUCAAUUGCCCAAGAAGUUGAAUUGUAUUUGUGUUGUGUUUACCAUGUAACCUUGGCUAUAUAUAUACACAAAGGACUGUAGAAUCAAGUAGUACACUAAUAGGGUAAGAGGGUAAGUAGGACACUAAUAGCUUUGAAAGACUUUUCUCCAAAACCAUACGGCACCUUCAGAGGUUUACUGCUUAUCUAUGAAAUUCUAUUCACGCUAUGAAAUUACUCUA